rnacentral:misc_RNA from 1 species
UGGUUCUGGCAUCGAUGAAGAACGCAGCGAAAUGCGAUAAGUAGUGUGAAUUGCAGAAUUCAGUGAAUCAUCGAAUCUUUGAACGCACAUUGCGCCUGUCGGUAUUCCGUCAGGCAUGCCUGUCCGAGCGUUAGUACUCGAGAAUUCAGCUUUCAGUAGCUGAUGUUGGGCCCUCAUCCUCUCUGAGCACCAGAAGAGGGGUCCCUAAAACCAUUGUUUAGACAUGAUAGUCGCUAGAGCGUUGCAGUACAGUCGCUUCUGCCGAACUCUCGUGUUUCUAAACUAAAAACUCCGAAUGGAAAACAAUUUUUCCUCGGAUCAGGCAAGGAUACCCGCUGA